rnacentral:lncRNA from 1 species
GAAAAAUGAUGAAUGGGAAGAGAAACCACGACCAGACACCCACGGACGAAUGGGACAGACUCAACCAGACAUCAACGGAUGAAUGGGAGAAAGAAACCACGACCAGACAUCGAAAAAUGAUGAAUGGGAAGAGAAACCACGACCAGACGCCAACGGACGAAUGGGAAAGACUCAAUGUUGACGGACAUCGAAAGAUGAUGUCUACAGAUACCAAAAAGAAGGACCUACACGGGGAU